rnacentral:lncRNA from 1 species
GAUGGGGAGCAAGCGGACAGGGAGAGCUAUCAGAGAGACACGUGGAGAGAGAGACAGCUGGGUGAGAAGGCAGACAUCACCACUUGGGGGAGAGGAAGAGAAAGUACUGAUUUCAGGCCUUCCACAGGGAAAAAGAGACAAGACAAUGACAUUCUAAAGCAUAGCUCCAUGGCUUGGAAAAGAUGUUAGAGGUCAUUUAGCGGAAUUGUCUCAUUUUACUGAGGAGGGAACUGAGGCCCAGGGACGUUAAGUACUUGUUAAAAUAGAAGGGCUGGGACUCGUUUGCUCCCAGGUCCUCCACUGAAUCUAGCCUUCUUUCCCAAGCACAAUGAGGCUUCUUGAAGAAGGCAGAAUGGAGAAAGGCAAAGGGAGGUAGAGACCCAGAGAUAACACCCCUAAUCGGUGAACCCCGUCUGGUGAGGUCCAGAGAGAGACAGCGUCUCCCAAUGGCGAGUAGAGAGCAGCAACACAGUCCCCAUGAGACAGACUGUUCAACAAGGAGUGAAAAACGAAAGAGACGGCAGAGGCAGGGGCAGCACUGGGUCAGGAGGGGAUCCCCCGGCUCACACUCACGUCAGCGGCUGCCAGAUCUCCAGAGGGCUUUUCGAGAAGACUCCAUCCUUCCCACCUUCGACCUCGGAGAACCCCCUGGCUCCUCGGGACCCCACCCGGGAAUCCUGCUCCGUGGAAACCGAGAGAGAGGGGCAGCCCUACUGAACUGGGGAUCCGCUUCCACCCUGGUGUAACGAGGCUGGAAGAUUCUGCAUCGGAGUGUGUGGCGCCAGGUCUUAGCUCCCUGCUCAGCGAGUCUUCACGUGGGAGGCAGCUAGAGCCGGCCCAACUCCUGUUCUGCCCCUCAGUAGAGUGAGGUGUUUAGCCUGGCACCUAAGGACCCAGUUCCCUCCUUACCUGCUCCGCCUCCCUCCACCCGGCUCUGAGUCCCCGCCCCCAAAUUCAGCCCUCCGUAGGGGAGUCUAGGCUCCACCCUCUCCUGAAGGCCCCCGUCCCGUCUUUCCAGGACCCGCCUCUCGCCGCCCGUGGCCCUUCCCUCAGAAAGGGGUUCCAAGACCCACCCCUGCUUCCCGGCCCCGCCCCCUCCAUGGAGACCCAGGCUUCAGAAGGAGCUGUAAAGGCCCCGCCUCCAGCUCCAUAUAGACUCCGAGGAAAACCACGGAGGGUUUUCCCUGGCCCCGCCUCCAGUAGGUGACAUCAGCUCAGAGAGUGGUGUAGACGUAGACACAGACGAGCACCAGCAGGUUGAGCGCUGUGCCUACCAGGCCCAGCAGCGCCAGCAGCCUCUCUUCUCUCUCCGGCUCCGGGGGCUCGUCCAUCCGCAGCCUUCCCUCCUCCUGAAGAAAUCACAAGAGCAGCUGCGGAGGGGUCGGGGAGAGGGCGGGACCGAGAAAGAGGCCCUAUCUCUAUCCAUCCCACCCCCCAUCCCCCCGGCUCUCGGGGUCACGUCCAAGGUCUCAUCUCUCGCCCCCUGCCCCCGACCCUCCCUCAGGAGUAAAGGGACAGAGGAAGACACAGAGAGGAGACGGAGACACCCCGAGACAGGCAGGGUGCAAGGGCAAUGACACGAGGAUGGUGUCUGGGAGGAUACAGAGAAACAGUGAGACCUCAGGGGCAGAGAGAGGGCUUGACACCGACGGAGCUCUAGAGGGACAGGAGCGGUCUCCCUUCUCCGCCUGUCUUCUCUCCCACCCGGCUCCCUGAAAGCCCGGGACCUUGUGUGCUGGCUGAGGCCCCUCCUUGCUCCUCUUCCCUGCGACACACAACGUCAAAAUCCCUGCCAUUCAAGGGCCAGCUCGGUGACAAGCUCCAGAAAGCCUUGGGGAUCCCUCUCAUCCUCCCUCUCCCUCCAGUCUAAAGCAAUGUCUCAUCACCUCAUUUCACUCCUGACCCUGACCUUGUCCAGCCUGGUCCUGGGCUUGGAGAGUCAUGAGGUCUGAAUUUCAGUCCCACCUCGAUGUACUUCCUGUGUGUCAUUGGGCAAAUCACUAACCUCCAGGCUUCUGUAAAAGGGGCCAUCGUGAUCCUUGCCUUCCC